UAAGUUAAGUGAACAAGGGCAUACGGCGGAUGCCUUGGCGCCAAGAGCCGAUGAAGGACGCGGUAAGCUGCGAAAAGGCAUGGGUAGGAGCAAGCAUCCUGUGAUCCAUGCAUAUCCGAAUGGGGCAACCCACCAUCAGUCAUGUGAUGGUACGAAAGAGGCAGACCUGGGGAACUGAAACAUCUAAGUACCCAGAGGAAAAGUAAUCAAUUGAGAUUCCCUAAGUAGCGGCGAGCGAAAGGGGAAGAGCCCAAACCAGAUAACUUCGGUUGUCUGGGGUUGAGGACCGGCAAAAAGAGGAAACUUCUUAGUCGAAUGGUUUGGAAAGGCCAUGCACAGAAGGUAAAACACCUGUAGGCGAAAAGAAGUCAAUCGGGCUGGUAUCCAGAGUACUGCGAGACACGUGAAACCUUGCAGGAAGCAGGGGGGACCACCCUCCAAGGCAAAAUACUACUUGGCGACCGAUAGCGCAUAGUACCGUGAGGGAAAGGUGAAAAGAACCCCGGGAGGGGAGUGAAAUAGAACCUGAAACCGUAUGUCUACAAGCAGUCGAAGCACCUUAAGAGUGCGACGGCGUGCCUAUUGAAGAAUGAACCGGCGAGUUACAUUAUGUUGCGAGGUUAAGUGGGAGACACGGAGCCGAAGCGAAAGCGAGUCUUAAUAGGGCGACUAGUAACAUGGUGUAGACCCGAAACCGCAGUGAUCUAUCCAUGGUCAGGUUGAAGCGCAGGUAAAAAUGCGUGGAGGACCGAACCCGUGAGUGUUGAAAAACUUUGGGAUGAACCGUGGAUAGGGGUGAAAUGCCAAUCGAACGCGGAGAUAGCUGGUACUCCCCGAAAUAGCUUUAGGGCUAGCCUCAGGGAAGAUUAUAGACGGUAGAGCACUGAUCUGGCAAGGGGGCGUAAAGCCUACCGACCCUAGUCAAACUUCGAAUGGCUAUAAUUAAGACCCUGGGAGUCAGACUGCGAGUGAUAAGACCCGUAGUCAAGAGGGAAACAGCCCAGACCGCCGACUAAGGUCCCCAAUGCUGUACUAAGUGGAAAAGGAUGUAAGACUUCAUAAACAACCAGGAUGUUGGCUUAGAAGCAGCCACCAUUAAAAGAGUGCGUAAUAGCUCACUGGUCGAGAGGCCUUGCGCCGAAGAUGUCCGGGGCUCAAGUACAGAACCGAAGUCGCGGCAGGAUUUAUAAUUCUGGGUAGGGGAGCGUUGUAUAUCCGACUGAAGGUGUACCGGAAGGAGCGCUGGAGGAUAUACAAGAGAGAAUGCCGGUAUGAGUAGCGAAAAGAACAGUGAGAAUCUGUUCCACCGAAAGCCUAAGGUUUCCUGAGCAACGCUCGUCGACUCAGGGUAAGUCGGGACCUAAGCCGAGGCAAAAAGCAUAGGCGAUGGACAACAGGUUAAUAUUCCUGUACCGCUUCAAAUCGUUUGAGCAAUGGAGUGACACAGAAGGUAGCUUGAGCACGCGAAUGGAUGUGCGUGUCGAAGGUGGUAG
rnacentral:rRNA from 1 species